rnacentral:rRNA from 1 species
AUGGGGGUCGGCAUGAGCAGCGGCCGGCAGGACUUCGCCGGCCGGACGCUGCCGCUGUUGGCUGUGCAGAUGCUUCUACAGUACGGCCCGGCCGGCGCAAGCCGCCCGCCCCUGACGGCCGCGCUGGUCGCCGCCAACGCGCUGGUGUACUUCCGCCCGGGCGCCGUCGACGCGCACCUACCCCGGCUCCGGCACGUCAUGUUCAACCCCCACCUCAUCAUCAAGUUCGGUGACCUGAGACGUUUCUUCCUCUCAGCUUUCUACCACUUGUGUGAAGGUCACUUCUUCAUGAACAUGGCUUCUCUCUUGCGCACGGGGGCAAAGCUUGAAACAUCAACUGGCAGUCCUGAGUUUGCUUGCAUGGUGGUUUCCUUGCUUGGCCUUUCUCAGGGCUUCACACUGCUCUUGUCUAAAGGCUUGCUUUCGCUCGGCAACGACAUGGCGUAUUAUCAAUAUUCUGCUGGAUUUAGUGGAGUGCUGCUUGGCAUGAAUGUUGUGCUGAAUGCCCGAGAAGGCGAUGUUGUCUGGCAUGGGGUGACCGUUCCUGCAAAGUAUGCGGCAUUGCUUGAACUACUACUCGUCCAUGCUUUCAAUCCGGAGGCACACUUGAUUUGCAAUGUUGGUGGGAUACUUGCUGGCCUGGCCUACCUUUUGCUGAGGCACGGUCCAGAACGGCUCGCUCCCAUGUUUUCAGGAAUUGCAGACGUUGUGAGUCAGCCGGCGAGAUUUGCUAAGAAACUUCUGAGGUCAGCAGCACAUGGUCGGGGGAGCAGUGUCCGGCGCCAUGUUGCACCUGCGCAAGAAGAGGUUGGGCAAGGUAUGCGGUGGAGAUGCAUAACAUGUUCUUGUGACAACUCGCGUCACGCAGAUGUCUGCGAGAUGUGCAGCACUCCGCACCCGGACCAUGCCUUUUCCCGCAGACGGCAUCUCCAAGACGGUGGAAACAACGAGCUCUCAGUCGAGGAGAUCCGCCGUAGGAGGCUUGAAAGAUUUGGAGGAUGA